rnacentral:rRNA from 1 species
AGCACGUAGGUGGGUUUGUAAGUCAGAUGUGAAAGCCUUCUGUUCAACGGAAGAAUUGCAUCUGAAACUACAAACCUUGAGUAUAGGAGGGGAGAGUGGAACUUCUGGUGGAGCGGUGAAAUGCGUAGAUAUCAGAAGGAACGCCGGCGGCGAAAGCGACUCUCUGGCCUAUUACUGACACUGAGUGUGCGAAAGCUAGGGGAGCAAACGGGAUUAAAUACCCCGGUA